rnacentral:rRNA from 1 species
UACGGGAGGCAGCAGUGGGGAAUAUUGCACAAUGGGCGCAAGCCUGAUGCAGCCAUGCCGCGUGUAUGAAGAAGGCCUUCGGGUUGUAAAGUACUUUCAGUCGUGAGGAAGGUGUUAAGGUUAAUAACCUUAGCAAUUGACGUUAGCGACAGAAGAAGCACCGGCUAACUCCGUGCCAGCAGCCGCGGUAAUACGGAGGGUGCGAGCGUUAAUCGGAAUUACUGGGCGUAAAGGGCACGCAGGCGGUUAAUUAAGUUGGAUGUGAAAUCCCCGGGCUUAACCUGGGAAUGGCAUUCAAGACUGGUUAGCUAGAGUCUUGUAGAGGGGGUAGAAUUCCAUGUGUAGCGGUGAAAUGCGUAGAGAUGUGGAGGAAUACCGGUGGCGAAGGCGGCCCCUGGACAAAGCCUGACGCUCAUGUGCGAAAGCGUGGGGA